AUAUAAAUGAAGUAAUAUAAACGCCAACAAGUUGAAUUUGCAAAUCAAUUGAGAAUAUUGUGGAGUGAAGUUGUGAAGUUAAUUUUGUACUUUGUUGGAAAAAUAAAAUCUCUGCGACGCAAUGAUUUUCCGGGGAUAUUUUAGUGUUUUCUUUAUAUUUUCAAUGGCUAUUUGCCUUGGUAUUGCUCAAGAUGUUGCUCCUCCUGAUCUACCUGAUUUAUCAAUCAAAACUACAACGAAAGCACCGGAAACCCAGGAAACUACCACUACGGUGCCAUUCAUAAGACCAACGCCUAGGCAUAUAAGUCACAGAAUUCAUUAUCAUUCCCGUAUGUGUGAUUAUCGUAUAGACUAUCAAGGAUUUUGCUACAGAUGCUGCCCAAAUGGCCGCUUUAGGUUUCGUUGCUGCAAGACAAGUUCCGUUUGGUGCAUGAAUAAAUAUGGUUCCUCAACAAGCCUGUUCAACAGUGAUUAUGGCUUAUGAAUUUCACCCAUCCAUUAAUGACGAGGUUUUUAUUUUGACGAGGAUACAUUUCUCAGGAUACUCAUUUAGGCAUUUUGAACAACAAACUGGACGUAAUACGAAAAAUUUAAUCACUCUCCUAAUACAAUUUGUUAAUUUGCUACCCCUUUUCAUGAAUACCUGUCUAAAGUAAAGAUUGCUUGUACAGUGUGUAUCAAAAUAAUUGUUUCACAAUACAAGGUGAUUUUUUUUAA